CUUAGUAACGGCGAGUGAAGCGGUAAAAGCUCAAAUUUGAAAUCUGGUACUUUCAGUGCCCGAGUUGUAAUUUGUAGAAUUUGUCUUUGAUUAGGUCCUUGUCUAUGUUCCUUGGAACAGGACGUCAUAGAGGGUGAGAAUCCCGUUUGGCGAGGAUACCUUUUCUCUGUAAGACUUUUUCGAAGAGUCGAGUUGUUUGGGAAUGCAGCUCAAAGUGGGUGGUAAAUUCCAUCUAAAGCUAAAUAUUGGCGAGAGACCGAUAGCGAACAAGUACAGUGAUGGAAAGAUGAAAAGAACUUUGAAAAGAGAGUGAAAAAGUACGUGAAAUUGUUGAAAGGGAAGGGCAUUUGAUCAGACAUGGUGUUUUUUGCAUGCACUCGCCUCUCGUGGGCUUGGGCCUCUCAAAAAUUUCACUGGGCCAACAUCAAUUCUGGCAGCAGGAUAAAUCAUUAAGAAUGUAGCUACUUCGGUAGUGUUAUAGCUUUUUGGAAUACUGUUAGCCGGGAUUGAGGACUGCGCUUCGGCAAGGAUGUUGGCAUAAUGGUUAAAUGCCGCCCGUCUUGAAACACGGACCA
rnacentral:rRNA from 1 species